rnacentral:misc_RNA from 1 species
GCAGGAGUCGGCUUGCUGGCGAUGCUGACAACGCGGUAUCCCGUCAAACCGCGUUGAUACUUUCGCCAGCAAGCCGGCUCCUAC